rnacentral:lncRNA from 1 species
UCUUAGUCGUCUUCGUAAAAGUCCUUGCUUUCAAAAAUAAGGGCUUUAUUAUUGAUGACUUCUCAAUAGGUUUUAUCCAAAGGAAUUUUUAUAGAAAAUUUAAUCUUAUGAUACCUCCAAUCUAUAAAUGGAUUAUAUCUUUUUAACCACAAAAUUCCUAGAAUGAUAAAAUUGAAUGAGAUUCUAAUAAUAUUGAAUAUUAUUUUGCUACUAUGGCCC